CCUCCCAUAUUCAUUUAUUUCCCCUUAUUCAGCUCCCUCUCUCUCUCUCUCUCUCUCUUCAGCCUUUCCUCACCGUCGAUCCGCCUUGGAGCAUCCACCACGGGAUCUAACGUCUCUCCUCUGUCGCCGCUGCACCGCUCCAGACGUUUCUCCUCUAUCGCCGUGACAUCCUCUGUUCUUCCAUCGCCCCCCAUCGCUCUUCAGCCACUGGUCCUCCGGCGAUGUCCUCUAUCUUCGCUCAUUUAACACGGCGGAGAUUGAAAUAGGUCUUGGUGUUUGAACUACUAUGUAGUAAGUUUUUUCACAGGUCUUGGUGUUUGAACUACUAUGUAGUAAGUUUUUGCGGAGUGGAUUGUGUUCGUUGUUCAAAACAAGCGGUUCUCGUGUUGACAAUUGCGAUUUGAGUCAAAUUUAGUCGUAUAGAUAACUGUAGUUAUGUAUAGUUCUAUGUAGUUAUAUAUAUUUAUAUACAAGCUAUGUGUUUUUCUGAUGAAUAGUGAUCUUGAUGAUUGUGUUUUUUUUUUCACUUUUUUGUUAGGCAUUAAAUUUUUUAUAAUACCAAGAAUCAAAUUUU